GAGAGCCUGGCUAGGCAGGCUGGAAACAGUAGCUCUUAACGGUCCCCCGCCCGUUGGUGGCAAGGCGGCUGGACUGGAAUCCCAGCAGGCGACAUGCGAGGAGGCGGGCAGCCCAGGAGGGUUGGACACGGCAAUGUGGACCUCGCCGCUUCCACAACGAUGCUGGCUACUGAUCGCGUGCACUUCCUUGCCAAAGAAAAUUUGUGCUGUGCACUAACAUGCAAUACAAAUACUGAUGAAAAUAAAACUAUUGCCCUCCUACCAAAUGAGAAAUUAAUGUUAUGACUGGAUGAAGACAAUUGUGAAGAAACUGCACUUUGAGGUUGUCUAUCUCUGUAUUCUGAUGGAAAAGCGUGGAGUUUAGAAGCACUGCUCACUCCUUCAGUUUCUAACAACUGUUUGGGGUGACAUAAACUACUGAAAGAGUGACUCCAGAAAGUGCUGCCAUCAAUAUCUGCAACUUGUAGGGUGUUUGGAUCAAUGAGGUGAAUGGCACUGGUUAUUCGAAUACACACACAAAUCUGGUUCAUAUUUCCCAGGCUUUGUGUCAGUUUUGGAGACAGACAGACAACAUAAUCCUGGCAUAUUGGAACAAUUUCCACAGAAAAAGUGCUUUUGUAAUUGUAUGUAUUACUAUGGACAUCCUGAGAGAUCAGUCUUUGGGAUGCGUUGUAUCUACAGGGAACUGUAUACUGAAUAAAUUCGACCAUCUUCUGAGCAUGUGGUUUUGAGGAAUAAUAAAAAUCCAGACCAUCAUGAAUCUCUUUGAUACGAAGUGUAUUCUGAUGCCUUCCAUAU
rnacentral:lncRNA from 1 species